GGUAUAGUACCAGGUGGUAGCUGACUACAACAGUCUCUAAGGUACAGGGUAUAGUACCAGGUGGUAGCUGUCUACAACAGUCUCUAAGGUACAGGGUAUAGUACCAGGUGGUAGCUGACUACAACAGUCUCUAAGGUACAGGGUAUAGUACCAGGUGGUAGCUGACUACAACAGUCUCUAAGGUACAGGGUAUAGUACCAGGUGGUAGCUGUCUACAACAGUCUCUAAGGUACAGGGUAUAGUACCAGGUGGUAGCUGACUACAACAGUCUCUAAGGUACAGGGUAUAGUACCAGGUGGUAGCUGACUACAACAGUCUCUAAGGUACAGGGUAUAGUACCAGGUGGUAGCUGACUACAA